rnacentral:tRNA from 1 species
GGGGAUAUAGCUCAGUGGCACAGCGCUUGCCUGGUAAGCUCAAGGUCCUGAGUUUGAUUUCCAGUACCCUCC